CGUUGCCGGGGCGGCCAUGGCGGAGGCGAACGUGGAGGACGCGGCCCGGCCGUGGCCGCCGCCCGCGGGCGCCUAUGCGGAGGAACGGGGGCUCUUCCAGCUCCUGCAGUUGCUGCGGCUCACACGUGUCAUUUGAUUUGCGGAUGAAAGUGGCAGCUCGUGGAAGAAAGGAGUCGCUGACAGGCGGGCAGGUGGAAGGGGAGACAGUGACGAAUCGAGUGCGGGAAGAACGCAGUGAAGGUUUUGCGGUGGCUGAGCCGGGGCUGUCACCGCCUCCUGUUCAUCCCCCGGUUAAAACCCUUUCCCCCCGCAUUCCUCUUGUGGCUGUUCGGGCAAGUGUCAAAAAUAAAGGGAGAGAAGUUCACUCGUGGCGUCGUUGUGAUUUCGGUGCCUGGCAAGGCUGGUGUCCCUGCUUUAGGGAAGGUCCAAAUCCUCCCUGA
rnacentral:lncRNA from 1 species